GUGAGUAGUUCAGAGUUUGAUCCUGGCUCAGGACGAACGCUGGCGGCGUGCUUAACACAUGCAAGUCGAACGGGGAUAUUUAGAAUGAGAGCUUCGGCAGGAUUUUUGAAUAUUCGAGUGGCGGACGGGUGAGUAACGCGUGAGCAACCUGUCCCAGACAGGGGGAUAACACUUGGAAACAGGUGCUAAUACCGCAUAAGACCACGGGGUCGCAUGGCCUUGAGGUAAAAGGAGCAAUCCGGUUUGGGGUGGGCUCGCGUCCGAUUAGAUAGUUGGUGAGGUAACGGCCCACCAAGUCGACGAUCGGUAGCCGACCUGAGAGGGUGAUCGGCCACAUUGGAACUGAGAGACGGUCCAA
rnacentral:rRNA from 1 species